AGUGAACGCUGGCGGCGUGCCUAAUACAUGCAAGUCGAACGGACUGGCGCACGGGUAAGGAAUAUAUAGCUAAUCUGCCCCUUGCUGGAGGACAACAGUUAGAAAUGACUGCUAAUACUCCAUAGCAAGGGAUGAGACUAUAUCGUAUCAGCUAGUCGGUGGGGUGCCGGCCUACCGAGGCUAUGACGCGUAACAGGUCUGAGAGGAUGAGCAGUCAAAUUCGAAGUGAGACAGCGGCCAGACUCCUACGGGAGGCAGCAGUAGGGAAGAUUGCGCAAUGGGGGUAACCCUGACACAGCAUCGCCGCGUGAAGGAUGAUACUUUUCGGAGCGUAAAAUCCAUUUGUUAGGGAAGCGUUACCUAACGAAUAAGCACCGGCUAACUCCGUGCCAGCAGCCGCGGUAAUUC
rnacentral:rRNA from 1 species